GUGCUUGCUUCGGCAGCACAUAUAUUAAGAUUGGAAGGAUACAGAGAAGAUUGCAAGGCCCCUGCUCAAGGAUGAGAUGCAAAUCCGUGAAGCAUUGCAUAUUUUN
rnacentral:snRNA from 1 species